UGCGGGAGGCCUUGUCUACAGAGAGGACACCACCCCAUGGGCUCCAGGUAGGUCACACACCAAACCCACAAGACAGCAAGCGGAGCGUUUAACCUGGCCAUCCCUUGGAGCUGCUGGGUGACCCUAGGAAAAGUGCGGAGCCUCUCUGUGCCUCAGUGCUCAGCCACGCCUUCUGUCCUUUACCUGUGGGCAGAGUCUAUGGGAGAUUCCACAAGGUAAGAAAAAACAGGAGCAGCUCAGUUAAGGGUGGUGAAGGUUACGUGGUGGCUCGGCUCUGGCCUCCUGUCCUGUCUGGAGGCCGCCUCCCUCUGGGCUCCUUUUGGGGAGUUAUCUCCCCCACCCUGUGGGCACUCCUGGUGGGGCUGUCACUCGAGGCACUCACUUUCCCCUGCCCACACCACAGGCCUGGGGAUUGGAAUCCCGUGGGGAGGGAUUCGAGAUUGGGAUUCAAAAGGGUCUACACAGAUUUGAGUAGCAGCUGUGCUGAUGGGAAGAGUGGGAGCCACCUGUGUCCCCCGAAAUGCCUGGUACCUGCCCUUCCCUAGCCUGGACCUUCAACUGCCCCCUUCAUCUCGCGAACCGCCCCAAAUCCUUCCUGGACAAUCCUUUAUUGCUUUAGUUAAGCGCGCAGUGGCGCCGCUUGCCUCCAGAUGCAGGGACCUCUAGAGGCGGGAGGUGGCCUUGCUCGCCCUGGAGAAGAGGAGGGGCGGGGCCUGAGGGAGGCCCACCUGGUGUCAGCCCCGGGGACAGAAUGGAGGACAGGGGUCACAGACAAGGAAGGCUUGGGUUAGCGCCUGAGGAAACGUUCCCAAAGGUUGGGGUGAAGGACAGAGGAGGACCUGUGUAAUAGGACAAAAGCGAAAUAAAGAAUCCUCAGUAUCUAAAUGGAGGAGAGGGUAGGUUAUGACCACUGCAGGUGGCUGUGGAUCGUUGUCCCUCCUGCCAGCUGCUGGGUGUCUGGAGACCGUUGCUGUGGUUGCAGUGAGCCCACAGCAGGCCGGGGAUGGCCACACAGGCCUUUGUCUCACGUCCCACCACUGAGCGGAAGGCCCCCUGCGAGCUGAUGCUGUUCCAGGAAAGCCACCCCCCCCACCCCACCCCGUUCCUCCUUAUCCGGGAUCCUCCCACCCGCCCUGCGUGGCUGCUGUGCGUGGGCAGCCCAAGGUGAGGGGCAUGGUGUCAGCCCCUCCCCAAGCCCAUUACCCAUUUCAGGCCACACCAGAGCCACAGCCUGCAAGAAACAGGUGGCUGGAGGCGUCCUUGCCCAUGCAGAAACUGCUGGAGACCAGUCUAAGCCAACACGUGAACUGGUGUGUGGCCCUAAGUUCAAAGGUGCUGAGGGAUCCCAAGUGGGGCUGGGGGUCACAGGGUGGGGGCAGGUUCAGGGAGGGGGGCUGGGUGUGUAGGUUUUCCAGGGCAAUUGCUGUAGGUGUGUGAGGUCAACUGAGCCCCCACCCAGACCAGUCAGACAUCGGUGGGGGGGAUGGUAGGAUGGUGACAAAGGCUACAGAGCUGACUAGUGUUGUGACUGCCGGAGCCCCUGUCCCUGGUGUCACCCCGACCUCCAGAUCCCACCCAGCUGCAAAGCAGGUCAUGCCCUGUCACCUGCCCACCGGCCAGCACGUGGGGAAUGCAUAUGCGGCUCAAGGGUGGCACUGUGUGGUCAUAAUGGGGUAGUGCGCCCCACAGCCUCCAAAGCUCCAUCUAUUGAGCCACUCCCGUUACUUUGGUUAGUGGUGCUGAGUCCCACACUGCAGCAGGAGGGCAAGGCCUGCAGAGCUUACCCAUGUAAGUGGAGUUUCUUUGCUGCACAGUCCUGAGGGCCUCAGAGCCCGAGAGGGGUAGUAGAGAGAAAGCGAGAGAUGGAGGACGAGAUGGGGAGGGAAAGGUUGCUGGUGUAAAUCAAUCAAUCAUCUAUCUACCUAUCAUCUAUCUGUCUAUCUAUCUAUCAUCUCUCUAUUUAUUUGCUUUUAAGGCCACACCCUUGGCAUAUGGAGGUUCCCAGGCUCGGGGACUAAUCAGAGCUACAGCCGCUAGCGUACGCCACAGCCAUAGUAAUGUGGGAUCCAAGCCACGUCUGCGACCUACACCACAGCUCACAGCGACGCUGGAUCCUUAACACACUGAGCGAGGCCAGGGAUUGAACCUGCGUCCUCAUGGAUCCUAGUCAGAUUCAUUUUCACUGAGCCACGACGGGAACUCCCAUAGGCCUGGAACUUUCAACAUGAGUUUCUGGGUCCAUGUCCUGGCAUUUGUCUGUCCCUGGGAAGCUGUUCCCAGGAAAGGGAUUGACCCCUGCGCCAGUCCCUUUCCUUCUCCAGGGCCUGGGGAGAGGGAGGAUUCAGACGGGGCUCUUGUUCCCGAUGUUAAUGGAAAGAACCUGAAUUUCAGAAUCAAUCAGAUCUGGAUUCAGCUCUCAGAUCCUUCCUGUAUGAGCUGUGUGACCUCAGGAAAGCCCUUUAUCCUCUCUGUGAACCCCUCAGUGUCCUCACCUGUAACCUGGGGUUAUGAUGCCCGUCUUGCGGGUGUGGAGAGGAGUCACCGUGGGCACAGUGAGCGAUCAGGGCCCUGGAGGAGAAGGCGCCCAGCUCUGAGUCUAGGGGUGUCAGCUCUGGGAACUAUCUGCUUGGCUGCCUGGACAGUGCCGUGUGUGUAUGUACUCACUUGGCAGUGAGCUGUUUGAUGGAAACCAGCCGCGGUGCACACCCCCUACCCUAACAGACAGGAGGUGUGCAGAGCCUGGGUAUGGUGGCCCAGAUUGUGAGGGGGUUGAAGCUAUGGGGAGGAACACAGCUGCUUCCAGAGCCGGCGGGGCAAAAGCUGAGUCUUAGGGAGAGGGAGGAGGGGGAGGGUAGAUGGCAAGAAAGGAAGGGAAGGAGUUCCCUGGUGGCCCAUCAGGUUAAGGGUCCAGCAUUGUCACUGCUGUGGCUCUGGUUACAACUGUGGUGCGAGUUCGAUCCCUGGCCGUCUCUCCAGGCAGCCAGUGUCCCCCUCUCUGGCUAUUCAAGGUGCCCCAGCAGCACCUGGGCAAGGCGCCCCAGGGUGAUGGAGUGUCCCUGCACCAGUCCCCAUCCUCCUUCGGACCUCGGCUUCUCCAUCCAAAAGAGGAAAGAAAGCAGGAUUUCUCCUCUCUGGUCCCCACCCCUCCCCUCCAGGCCCAGCCACACCUGCUGUCCUGAAAUGUGGGAGCUGUGAGAGUGCAGGAGGGGCGUGGGGACCAGGCUGAGACAGAACACCGAGCUCUGGAGGGAAAGAGUCAGAGAAAUUACCAGCAAUGAAACCUAUAGGUUGACCCAAAGCACAGUUUGAAUAGAAAUGUCAAGCGCACCUGAAGUUGUUACACCCUGUAAUCCUGAUGACAUAUAAUCCUGUAUACCGACUUGAUAACAUCGGGCGAGAGUGUGUGGCAACACCGCUGCGUGUUAAUCCUGCCUUUCUCCCCCGGGGAUGAGCUUUCUCCUCCCAGCAGAGCCUACAGAGCCUCUCUUGUUCUCCCCAGGGGUGGCCUCAUCGAGGCUGGGCCUGGGGGAGUGACAGCCGGAGGACCACGGCGCUCCCAGAGGAGAGCCGUCCUUUCACCCGGAGGGGGUGGACACUCGUCAUUUGGGGCUUUCAUUUGUGCUUAGACUGGGUGUAGCCCGAGCCCCGGGGAGUUGCUGAGCCCCCACCAUCAGCCUCUCUUCUCUCCACCUCCCUCUCUCUGUCCUUUUCUUUUCUUAUUCCUCCUUUCCCAUUUCCUCCCCUUCUUUCUUUCCCAGCAUCUAAGGCUUCUUCUGCUAAGGACACCCCGAGACACCCCCUUCAAGAGCCGCCAGGGACUAGCAUGCACCCACCCUGUGGUUCUCUGUUCCUUAGCUGUAGGGCCUGGGGCUGGGGAGGGGAGCAGGCUGUUGCAGGAGCUGGAAGCCGCAUGGUUAGCGGUCUCUGGGCAGGGGGCUUUCAGGGUAGGGGGUCAGGACAUCCAGGCCAUAGCACCUCCUCACACUGCUCCCUGGGCUUGUUUUAUCUGCAGUGCAGCCCAAGCAAGUCUGUGGUUCUGGAAGCAUGGGCCCUGGGCCAGCAGCUUCAGCAUUACCUGGGAUCUUUUUUUUUUUUCUUAAUUUUUAGGGCCACACCUGCAGCAUAUGGAAGAUCCCAAGCUAGGGGUCGAAUCAGCGUUGUAGCUGCUGGCCACAGCCACAGCCACAGCCACAGCAACUAGGGCAUCUGAGCUGAGUCUGCGACCUACAUCACAGCUCAUAGCAAUGCCAGAUCCUUAACCCACCGAGUGAGGCCAGGGAUCGAACCCGCAUCCUCAUGGAUACCAGUCAGGUUUGUUUCCACUGAGCCCCAAUCGGAACUCCCUGGGAUCUUAUCAGAAAUGCACGUUUUCGGGUUCCAGCACCAAGGGUGUGCUGAGAUGGUUUGCAUCCCCUUGGGCAAACCUGAAGUGCACAUCUCCCCAACUCCACUUAGUGAAGUCACACGGGGGCCUGAAAUCAGCCAAGGUGGGGAUAUUUACACCGGCAAACACAACAAAUCAGUGCCUAUUUUCCUUUCAGAGAACAGCUUCCAGCACACCACGGAGCCCCAUCCAGACCUACUGAAUCAGAAACUCUGGGGAUGGGGCCCAGCAGUCUGGGUUUUACUAAGCUUUCCAGGCGAUGCUCAGGCACGCUCAGGUUUGAGAAGUAUCCAGUGGGUCAGCGCAGGUGGAAUCACAAAUCUUGGGACUGCGAUAGAGAAGGGGUGGCCGAGGAGCAGGGUUUCACUAGGAGACUUCGGGAAAGGUAAAGAAGGAGAGAGAAAGGAAACCAGACUCCAGGCAGAGGGGCAGCAGGCAUUUAGCAGGAAGCCCUCCGGGGCGGAGGUGAGACUCCAGCCCCCAGACUGAAGAGGUGCCAAGGAGGUUGAGUGCAAUCUGCUUGGAGAGUCGUGGUUUCUCCAGGUCGCUGAAUGAGAUCAGGAGGCUCAGAAUAACUGGCUGGAAAAAGGCCCCUUUUAACGCUACUUCCACAACAACAGCAAAUGCACAAGCACUUAGUUAGAGACACAAGGAAGGGACAUCCCAAAAAGUUUCUUUUAAAGACCAGAUGAAAAUGGAAAAUCAGGAGUUCCCUUGAUUAAGGAACAGUGGGUUAAGGAUCUGGUGUUGUCACUGCUGUGGCUCAGGUUUGCUCCCUGGCCCAGGAACUCCCACAUGCCAUGGGCAUGAC
rnacentral:lncRNA from 1 species